UGGGGAAUAUUGCACAAUGGGCGCAAGCCUGAUGCAGCCAUGCCGCGUGUAUGAAGAAGGCCUUCGGGUUGUAAAGUACUUUCAGCGAGGAGGAAGGCGUUGUGGUUAAUAACCGCAACGAUUGACGUUACUCGCAGAAGAAGCACCGGCUAACUCCGUGCCAGCAGCCGCGGUAAUACGGAGGGUGCAAGCGUUAAUCGGAAUUACUGGGCGUAAAGCGCACGCAGGCGGUCUGUCAAGUCGGAUGUGAAAUCCCCGGGCUCAACCCGGGAACUGCAUCCGAAACUGGCAGGCUAGAGUCUUGUAGAGGGGGGUAGAAUUCCAGGUGUAGCGGUGAAAUGCGUAGAGAUCUGGAGGAAUACCGGUGGCGAAGGCGGCCCCCUGGACAAAGACUGACGCUCAGGUGCGAAAGCGUGGGGAGCAAACA
rnacentral:rRNA from 1 species